CUCUGAAGAUUGAACACCUGUGUGUGUGCUGGGAGAUUGGAAAGCAGCAAGUGGAUCCAGAAAUACAGCAGUAAGCAAUGGGAAAAGGCCUGAAAUACCCAGCAGCAGCAGAGAGCAAUAGAUAAAGGACUUCCACAGCAACCCAGCAAUUCACCCACAAUGGGGGAAAACGACCAGAGCAGUCCAACAAUAGGACAGACAGCACACAGUUCCACUUGGAACAUAGGAGAACGUGAGGACUGCAG